rnacentral:rRNA from 1 species
GACGAACGCUGGCGGCGUGCUUAACACAUGCAAGUCGAACGGAAAGGCCCUGCUUUUGUGGGGUGCUCGAGUGGCGAACGGGUGAGUAACACGUGAGUAACCUGCCCUUGACUUUGGGAUAACUUCAGGAAACUGGGGCUAAUACCGGAUAGGAGCUCCUGCUGCAUGGUGGGGGUUGGAAAGUUUCGGCGGUUGGGGAUGGACUCGCGGCUUAUCAGCUUGUUGGUGGGGUAGUGGCUUACCAAGGCUUUGACGGGUAGCCGGCCUGGGAGGGUGACCGGCCACAUUGGGACUGAGAUACGGCCCAGACUCCUACGGGAGGCAGCAGUGGGGAAUAUUGCACAAUGGGCGGAAGCCUGAUGCGGCAACGCCGCGUGCGGGAUGCCGGCCUUCGGGUUGUAAACCGCUUUCGCCUGUGACGAAGCGUGAGUGACGGUAAUGGGUAAAGAAGCACCGGCUAACUACGUG